rnacentral:rRNA from 1 species
CCUUGGGAGUACGGCCGCAAGGCUAAAACUCAAAGGAAUUGACGGGGACCCGCACAAGCGGCGGAGCAUGCGGAUUAAUUCGAUGCAACGCGAAGAACCUUACCAAGGCUUGACAUAUACGAGAACGGGCCAGAAAUGGUCAACUCUUUGGACACUCGUAAACAGGUGGUGCAUGGUUGUCGUCAGCUCGUGUCGUGAGAUGUUGGGUUAAGUCCCGCAACGAGCGCAACCCUCGUUCUANNNGCCAGCACGUAAUGGUGGGAACUCAUGGGAUACUGCCGGGGUCAACUCGGAGGAAGGUGGGGAUGACGUCAAGUCAUCAUGCCCCACCU